GACCAUUGUCCUGGGAGGGUGGGCCCCCUCAUCUGCCCGUGCCGCGGGGAUGCUUGGCAGGGCGGGGACGGCCAAGGCAAUCACCGAGAGGAGGAAGCCUCCAGGUUCCUAGAGGAGAUCCACGGUGCAGCCGGAAGUGCGAGGGCCGGGACCCGGGCGCGCUUGUGCAGGAGGAGAGGAGGCACGCUGGGGUGGGAGUGUGUCCGACAAUGGAGAGCUGCGUGGGAGGGUCAAGGAUGGCUUCCGAGUUGUGAGCUGUAUUAGGGAAGAAGAAGACUACAAGGAAAUACUUCUGAAGAACCAGUGUGAACUCGAGGCUGGAGUGAAUCUUCUCUUGAGCGCUCUCCUCCCAGAAUGGCGGUGCCUCCUGUGCAAAGGUCCCUACUAGUGACUGAUGGCAGAGGGAGAGGGCUAUGCCUGGGAUCGUGCUGGCAGAGAAAUCAUGGGCAUUCCUUCAGACUUGAAGUUGCUACUACCAAGAGGCAGCUACCUGGGCUCCAAGGGCUGUCAGAAGACUCCGAGCUUUGCCUACAGUUGCUGAGAUAAGAAACAGACCAAGGAGCAAGUGCUGAAGCAGAUCCUGACACCUACUGGCGAGCUGCAGACUCAGGAAGUGAUAAUAUCCAGAAUGUGGAGAAGAGACAUCGCUGAUGCUGGAGAAGUUGGAGACAGCUUGGAGGAAAAGCCAUCAGGUGGGAAGGGUUAGGAUAAUCACUUAUGUUAUGGCUUGACUAGUGAAAGUCUUCUGGAAUAGUACAGAAAACGGUAAAACUGAACUCUAGGAUCCACUACAUGUCUUUGAGCCAAACCCAGCACCUACCUCAUGGACUUUAAUUCCCCCUUGGUAUUCGUGUGCACCUCUGGAAACUUUUUUGAAAUUGGGUGGUGGUGGUUUGGGCAAUUUUACCAGAAAGUUUAGCUUCAAAUUCAGUUUUGCAAGACCAGCUUCAUCCCAUUUCCUUUAGGGUCUAGGCUAAAGGAUAGAACAAGAUACACUUGUGGCAGAGAUAGUACUUUGGAAUCCAAAGUGUCAAGUGCAGCCUGUUAAGAUCUUGUCUUAGUUUGACUUUGAGCAUUAUUGCCUUUUGAAAUGGAAAGCAGUGUCUUCAGAGAAAGAAGAGAUCCUUGAAGAAAGUUUCUUAGAAUUCUCAUUAGUAAUGCCCUUUCCCUUGAAAACUUGGCCUCAAAAAAAAAAAAAAAAAAGGAAAACUUGGCCUCUACCCAUCUCCUCAUUAUCUGCCCAAUUCUUGAGGUAGAAACUCCAAGCCAUUAUUGUGAGGGGUUUUGUUUAGUUUGUUUUGACCUAUUCAACUCCUUGAACUUCAAAGUGCGGCUUUCUUCUUAUGAUUUAGUCCUGAACAUUGCUGGAAAAGUUAUUUUCCCCACUUAAAUUUUUCCCUUUCAAAACAGUAUGUAUUUUGGGGUGCGUUGGUAGUGCAGCUGAUUAAGUGACUGACUCAUGAUUUCGACUCAGGUCAUGAUCUCAGGAUUGUGAGAUCCAGCCCACAUUAGCACCCCCAUUUAGUGCCGAGUCCGUUUAAUAUUCCCUCUUCCUUUGCCCCCCUUAUGCUUGUAUGCACUUUCUCUCUGAAAUAAAGAAACAGAUCUUUUAAAAAAUA